CCUACGGGAGGCAGCAGUGGGGAAUUUUGGACAAUGGGCGCAAGCCUGAUCCGGCAAUGCCGCGUGCAGGAUGAAGGCCUUCGGGUUGUAAACUGCUUUUGUACGGAACGAAACGGUCUUUUCUAAUAAAGAAGGCUAAUGACGGUACCGUAAGAAUAAGCACCGGCUAACUACGUGCCAGCAGCCGCGGUAAUACGUAGGGUGCAAGCGUUAAUCGGAAUUACUGGGCGUAAAGCGUGCGCAGGCGGUAAUGUAAGACAGAUGUGAAAUCCCCGGGCUCAACCUGGGACCUGCAUUUGUGACUGCAUUGCUAGAGUACGGUAGAGGGGGAUGGAAUUCCGCGUGUAGCAGUGAAAUGCGUAGAUAUGCGGAGGAACACCGAUGGCGAAGGCAAUCCCCUGGACCUGUACUGACGCUCAUGCACGAAAGCGUGGGGAGCAAACAGGAUUAGAUACCCUGGUAGUCCACGCCCUAAACGAUGUCAACUGGUUGUUGGGUCUUCACUGACUCAGUAACGAAGCUAACGCGUGAAGUUGACCGCCUGGGGAGUCGGCCGCAAGGUUGAAACUUAGAAGUAGUCGCGNGNGAGAGCGACGACGACGACGAGGAGGGAGG
rnacentral:rRNA from 1 species